UACGUAGGGGGCUAGCGUUGUCCGGAAUCAUUGGGCGUAAAGCGCGCGUAGGCGGCCCGGUAAGUCCGCUGUGAAAGUCAAAGGCUCAACCUUUGAAUGUCAGCGGAUACUGCCGGGCUAGAGUCCGGAAGAGGCGAGUGGAAUUCCUGGUGUAGCGGUGGAAUGCGCAGAUAUCAGGAGGAACACCAACGGCGAAGGCAGCUCGCUGGGACGGUACUGACGCUGGAGGCGCGAAAGCGUGGGGAGCGAACAGG
rnacentral:rRNA from 1 species